rnacentral:rRNA from 1 species
UACGUAGGGGCUAGCGUUGUCCGGAUUUAUUGGGCGUAAAGAGCGUGUAGGCGGCCAGGUAGGUCUGGUGUGAAAACUCGAGGCUUAACCUCGAGAUGUCAUCGGAAACCAUCUGGCUAGAGUCCGGAAGAGGAGAGUGGAAUUCCUGGUGUAGCGAUGAAAUGCGCAGAUAUCAGGAAGAACACCAAUGGCGAAAGCAGCUCUCUGGGACGGUACUGACGCUGAGACGCGAAAGCGUGGGGGAGCGAACAGG